rnacentral:rRNA from 1 species
UAACCUACGGGGCGCAGCAGUGGGGGAUAUUGCACAAUGGGGGGAACCCUGAUGCAGCGACGCCGCGUGGGUGAAGAAGCGCCUCGGCGCGUAAAGCCCUGUCAGCAGGGAAGAAAAUGACGGUACCUGAAGAAGAAGCCCCGGCUAACUACGUGCCAGCAGCCGCGGUAAUACGUAGGGGGCAAGCGUUGUCCGGAUUUACUGGGUGUAAAGGGCGUGUAGCCGGGUUGACAAGUCAGAUGUGAAAUCCUGCGGCUUAACCGCAGAACUGCAUUUGAAACUGUUGAUCUUGAGUACUGGAGAGG